CAAAAUGAACGCAGCUCCAAUAACGGACAAAGUCAACGACUAUUGAAGAUGCUGCAAGAAGUAACGAAAAUUUUAGAAAAAAAUAUAAUGUAGGCACAGUUUCUUCGCUUCAAUAUUUUCUUCUUUUAGCUGCUUAACCCAACAACGUUGUGAAACGAAAUGGUCGUUAUCUUGAAAGAACACGAACAGAGAGCCUGAAGAAUUACUGGAAAUAGCGACAAAUCCAUGGAGGCUGACUGAGUGAAGACCGCCCAGAAAUCCGUGCGUCCACGAACUGUUACUACAGAAAAUUAUGAGAUUUGAAAUUUACAGAAAAAAACAAAAGACGAAGACAGGUGUAUGAAGAACGAGCAGGUGCAUUAAUGUGAUGUUCGAGAAAGAAAGUAUUUUACGUUUUGGCUCUACGCUCUUCAACAGAAGACAAUAAAAGACAAAAAGAGAGACAAUAAAAAAGAAAGUGUAU